rnacentral:rRNA from 1 species
GACGAACGCUGGCGGCGUGCUUAACACAUGCAAGUCGAACGGAAAGGCCCUGCUUUUGUGGGGUGCUCGAGUGGCGAACGGGUGAGUAACGCGUGAGUAACCUGCCCUUGACUUUGGGAUAACUUCAGGAAACUGGGGCUAAUACCGGAUAGGAGCUCCUGCUGCAUGGUGGGGGUUGGAAAGUUUCGGCGGUUGGGGAUGGACUCGCGGCUUAUCAGCUUGUUGGUGGGGUAGUGGCUUACCAAGGCUUUGACGGGUAGCCGGCCUGAGGGGGUGACCGGCCACAUUGGGACUGAGAUACGGCCCAGACUCCUACGGGAGGCAGCAGUGGGGAAUAUUGCACAAUGGGCGGAAGCCUGAUGCAGCAACGCCGCGUGCGGGAUGACGGCCUUCGGGUUGUAAACCGCUUUCGCCUGUGACGAAGCGUGAGUGACGGUAAUGGGUAAAGAAGCACCGGCUAACUACGUG